rnacentral:rRNA from 1 species
UUGGCGAACGGGUGAGUAACACGUGAGCAACCUGCCCUAUACAACGGGAUAACACAGAGAAAUUUGUGCUAAUACGGUAUAAGACCACAGUAUCGCAUGAUACAGGGGUAAAAGAUUUAUCGGUAUAGGAUGGGCUCGCGACCCAUUAGCUAGUUGGUGAGGUAACGGCCCACCAAGGCAACGAUGGGUAGCCGACCUGAGAGGGGUGAUCGGCCACACUGGGACUGAGACACGGCCCAGACUCCUACGGGAGGCAGCAG